rnacentral:rRNA from 1 species
AACGAACGCUGGCGGCAUGCCUAACACAUGCAAGUCGAACGAUGCCUUCGGGCAUAGUGGCGCACGGGUGCGUAACGCGUGGGAAUCUGCCCUUGGCUUCGGAAUAACAGUUAGAAAUGACUGCUAAUACCGGAUGAUGUCCCCCUGAGAGAUCUUGGGGACCACAGAUUUAUCGGCCAGGGAUGAGCCCGCGUAGGAUUAGGUAGUUGGUGGGGUAAAGGCCUACCAAGCCGACGAUCCUUAGCUGGUCUGAGAGGAUGAUCAGCCACACUGGGACUGAGACACGGCCCAGACUCCUACGGGAGGCAGCAGUGGGGAAUAUUGGACGAUGGGGGGAACCCUGAUCCAGCAAUGCCGCGUGAGUGAUGAAGGCCUUAGGGUUGUAAAGCUCUUUUACCAGGGAUGAUAAUGACAGUACCUGGAGAAUAAGCUCCGGCUAACUCCGUG